rnacentral:rRNA from 1 species
UACGUAGGGUGCGAGCGUUAAUCGGAAUUACUGGGCGUAAAGCGUGCGCAGGCGGUUUUGUAAGCCAGAUGUGAAAUCCCCGGGCUUAACCUGGGAAUGGCAUUUGGGACUGCAAGGCUUGAGUGCGGCAGAGGGAGACUGGAAUUCCUGGUGUAGCAGUGAAAUGCGUAGAUAUCAGGAGGAACACCGAUGGCGAAGGCAGGUCUCUGGGCUGACACUGACGCUCAUGCACGAAAGGCGUGGGGAGCAAACAGG